rnacentral:rRNA from 1 species
UACGUAGGAGGCGAGCGUUAUCCGGAUUCACUGGGCGUAAAGAGAACGUAGGCGGUCUUUCAAGUCGGAUGUAAAAUAUCCCUGGCUUAACUGGGAUGGGCCAUUCGAUACUGUUAGGCUAGAGGACAGCAGGGGGAGGUGGAAUUCCCGGUGUAGUGGUGAAAUGCGUAGAUAUCGGGAGGAACACCAGUGGCUAACGCGGCCUCCUAGGCUGUUUCUGACGCUGAGGUUCGAAGGUGUGGGGAGCGAACAGGAUUAGAUACCCCAGUA